rnacentral:ncRNA from 1 species
ACAGUACAAACUGAGCAGACCGUGAUUGUCUUUUCAUGGGGUCGGGUCACAAAAGUGACAGUGGAAUCUUUCAUCCACGGGACAGU